GGGAUACCUGUGGGAUACGUUUUCUCACACGAGAAAAGGUGCGAAAAGCAAGCAAGAUGUUGUCCAACUUUUUGCAUGGAAUGAAAACCUUACUUCUUCAACUUGCCUACAAACACAGGCCAUUAACAGAAAUUCCAAAACAAGAAAACAAGGUUGCAAUUGUUACUGGUGGAAAUGCAGGAAUAGGAUAUGAGACAGUUAAAGGGUUGUGCAAAGCUGGCGUCUCUGUUAUAAUGGCUUGCAGAUCAGAAGAAAAGGCAAAUGAAGCCAUCAAAUUGUUAAAGGAUGAACAACCCAAUGCUAAAGUGAGAUAUAUGAAUUUGGACCUGGGAAGUCUCUCAUCUGUUAAAGAUUUUGCCAAUAAGUUCCAAGAGACUGAAAGUAAUCUUCAUAUUCUGGUAAACAAUGCUGGUAUAAUGCACCCACCCUAUGGACAGACCAAGGAUGGCUUCGAACUUCAGCUUGGAAUCAAUCAUUUGGGUCAUUUUGCUUUGACUUUACUUGUUCUGGAUGUGAUUAAAAGGUCUGGAUUAGAGGGGAAUUGUGCAAGGAUUGUCACAGUGUCAUCCAGUGCCCAUGCAGCAGGGACCAUCAACUUCCAAGAUUUACAGAGCCAGAAAAGCUACUGUCAAUAUCAAGCCUACAGUCAAAGCAAACUUGCAAAUAUUCUAUUCACGUAUGCACUGCAAAGAAGGUUGACCAAUGAGGGUUGCUAUGUGACAGCUAAUGCAUUACACCCUGGUGUCGUAAAUACAGAACUGUUUCGUUAUAUUCCAUGGAUAUUACAGUCUGUGAAAAAUCUAAUUGGAAAUUUCGUGUUCUGGACCCCAGAGCAAGGAGCUUCAACAAGUUUGUUUGCUUGCCUUUCUCCUGACAUGGAAGGYAUUGGAGGAAAAUAUCUCAGUAACUGUGAAGCUACAGGCAGUAUUGAUGAAUCUUACAAUGAGGACAUACAGGAGAGACUAUGGAAUGUGAGCUGUGAAUUGACUCAUGUGGGCAAGGAUACRUAAAGAGAAGGAACAAGGGCAUCUUCUUCAAGCUCUAGAUGUCCUACAUGGUAAAACAAGUGAAAAGAAUUUGUAUGACAUACGAAGGGUCACAACAUGGUGUGCUAUGAAAGAACUAUGGGUGGAGCUGGAGGUUUAGAACUCACUGCUGUGGUUGCUAGCUUGGGUCAAGGGUUAAACCCUAAUUUGUCCACCAUGUGAUCUGAGUUUGUUUGAGAGUUCAAUAACUUCCCUGAGCUGUGAAGAGAGCAGAGAGCAUAUUCAUAAUCACAUUUAUUGAUAUGUAUCUGUGGACAUUCCUUUCUACCUAAWGAAGCAGCAAGAAGGAAAGGUCGUUGACUAGAUGACUUAAGACUUGCUUUGAAAUAGUUCAAAAUGCUGAGAGUGCAUACCCAAGGAUUAUAGAGUGAGGUCAUGAAAUUCGUGAAAAUAGAUAUUAGAAUGAUACAUAUUUGUAGAUGCUAAGUCCAUUGUUUUCUUUUGUGUCUAUUUGACUAUUACACAUUGACUGACACUUUUUAUUUCAUGGGUGAAAUGCYUUCGCUCUGACCAGGGUUUUACAGUAUUUAUAAAUUUAUACUUACAGUUUAAAUGUCGAUGUCUUCUUGGGAGUUUCAACAAAGCUGUGUAUAUAAAAAAACGUAUAUUAGCAAAAAUAGCAAGCAUAAACAAUGUCUCUAUAAAUACUAAUCAUGUACAACUUGUUUAAAAAGGCUGUUUUACAAAUACAUCAGUUAUUAUAGCUGCCAACAGUCAAGUAUUCCUAAAUUUGUCUUUGAAGUAUUAAAGUAACAGGGAAACAUGUCAAACUUGUAUAAUAUUUGCAAUAUCUGUCAUUGUAGCAGAAAUUAAUGGUGUUAAUUCAUGAUUGAUUUUUUUAGACAACAGAAGAAAAUCAUAUUAAACAGAUAUGAUUGCUAUUUACCUAAAAGAUGGCUGUGAUAGUCCCUCUGGAUGAACUGGUACCUGAAUCGAAUAAAUAAACAUCAGAUUCAUUAUCACAUUUUAUAUACAAUUAUGUUACUUGCCGCAUCUGAAAGUCAACAGAGGAAGUUUUCAACAGAGGAAGUUUUCAACAAAGAUUUUCACUUCUAUUCAAAUUUUACCUGUACUCCUCGUUCCCAUUCUUGUCGCCAAGGGUCAACAAUUGUCAUGUAGUUUUCAGGAUUUAAGAUUUGAGUGUCCGGUAGCUUCAUUGCACUGAUUAGAUCGGUAAGACAUCUAUUCUGAUGGGCAUUAUAAUUUUGAGCAACAAAAAACAGCCUUCUUUUGGUUUUAAUUUCAAAGGAAAAGCUAUCAUAAAAUCAGCCUGUUUGAUGCUAAUAAGAAUUGACUCCCCAGAAAGAAUUUAAUGGAACUAUUCAAGCAGGCUUAGUGAUACGGCCAUCAGGAGACAAGAAAGGAACAGGUGAAGGUGGACCUGAAGAAGCUAGAGAGGAUAUAUAUGCAAAUUAGACAAAUAUGUCAGCAUUAUUCACAAUGACUCUAACUUGAGUGUACUAUGCAAAUCUGAUAAUAAAAGGUAAAUAGAUGAA